rnacentral:rRNA from 1 species
GGUACUCGAGUGGCGAACGGGUGAGUAACACGUGGGUGAUCUGCCCUGCACUCUGGGAUAAGCCUGGGAAACUGGGUCUAAUACCGGAUAUGACCAACUGUCGCAUGGUGGUUGGUGGAAAGCUUUUGCGGUGUGGGAUGGGCCCGCGGCCUAUCAGCUUGUUGGUGGGGUAAUGGCCUACCAAGGCGACGACGGGUAGCCGACCUGAGAGGGUGAUCGGCCACACUGGGACUGAGACACGGCCCAGACUCCUACGGGAGGCAGCAGUGGGGAAUAUUGCACAAUGGGCGCAAGCCUGAUGCAGCGACGCCGCGUGAGGGAUGACGGCCUUCGGGUUGUAAACCUCUUUCACCAGGGACGAAGCGGAAGUGACGGUACCUGGAGAAGAAGCACCGGCCAACUACGUGCCAGCAGCCGCGGUAAUACGUAGGGUGCGAGCGUUGUCCGGAAUUACUGGGCGUAAAGAGCUCGUAGGCGGUUUGUCGCGUCGUCUGUGAAAUUCUGCAACUCAAUUGCAGGCGUGCAGGCGAUACGGGCAGACUUGAGUACUACAGGGGAGACUGGAAUUCCUGGUGUAGCGGUGAAAUGCGCAGAUAUCAGGAGGAACACCGGUGGCGAAGGCGGGUCUCUGGGUAGUAACUGACGCUGAGGAGCGAAAGCGUGGGUAGCGAACAGGAUUAGAUACCCUGGUAGUCCACGCCGUAAACGGUGGGUACUAGGUGU